AUAGCAUCAGUCAGGGACUUUCUGCUGCAGGUAGCGUGACCACUGCUACAUUCAGAAGUGCUGUCACUCACAUACGGUGCAUGUUAGGUUCCAGUGCAGGAACAAAAUACCGCUACUCUUGCCUUUUAAGCCUUAAAGCAGGGCAAGAGAAAAAGGGAAAUGACAGCAAUCCAAGUAUGCUGUGUGCAAUAUACUGCUUUUCUAAUUGAUUCUGCAGAUUUCUUCCUCUUCCUCCUGCUGUCAUAAUCUCUGUGUUUAAGAGAUCCAGAUAUUUCCAUUUGUUCCUUUCACCCAGAAACUAGGCCCAUACCUGAAUAAAAAAAGAAAUUCAGAUUGAAACAAGCAGAGAAAAACUACCAAAGAGUCAGAGCUGUUAAUCAAUGCCAUAGCCUUUCAAAGGAAGAGAUAAUAAUUCAUGCUGGGAAUAUUCAAAACUAAACUGGAGGAAUCCUGAGGAUGAGAUACCAAGGCAGAAACCCUCAGAAGCCCCCAGGGAAUAGAUAAAAAUACCUAAUUGUUUUUUUUUAUCUCAGACAUCUAAAUUAUCCAACCGCAUUGUGCAAGCAUAUUCAGCAGAUUGCUAACUGAUCAGCCACGAAAUCCUGCUGCACUUUGCAUUGUGCUCCAAAACUGAACAACCCACUGAAAUUAAUGAGACAAUUCUCAUCUCUCAUGAGGUCAAACCAAUUACAUAGGCAUAGCCAGCGGGUACUAUCUGUAGCGGAAAAAAACAAAACAAAACAAAACAGUGCCUAUCAAGUUAGAGUUACACAACCAAGUGCUCGUCUAGGCUCCUGGCAAGGCCCCGAUAUCAUUAGCUAUUAUUAACUGCCUUGUGCAAAGGCAUCAACUCUCUCAGGAGCCAAGAGAGCACCGAAGUGGUUACAAAAGCACUUCACUUGUACAGUAGACAAAUCUUGAGGUGGCCUUGAAGAGUCGUUCCUUUUGCAGGCUCGAGGCCCAAGAACACAACACAGUGAGAGCUCACAUUGCGAAGAUUUUAUUUGCAACUAAAAGGUCAAACUGAAGAAAGUAAUGGGCUCAGAGCAGUGCCAGGACAGCUUUCCAGUUGGGUCCAGCUCACUUACAACCUUGCCAAGGGAAGAAGAAGUUAAUGCCCUGAGAUAAGACCCUCGUCACAAUAUUGUUUAAUUACAUAAGGCUUCUAGUGAGCCUGAGAUAAGAACAGGAAUUUGUCUGCAGUCCAGCUGGGUGCGGCUGCUGGCUGCUUAGAUCAUGUUGUGUAUUAGAAUGGGAACUAAAAGCACGGGUUUAUUCGAGGUGGUUGUCACAUCAUUAGAACUGGAAUGAGUAAACUGAUAGUGACAACUGAUUUAAAAGUUAACUGUUUCACAUGAGAAAUAAACUAACAUUUUCCUGACAACAGUAGCUCUAAAACUAUCUAUUGUUUAUCUUCAAAUUACAUUAGGAACAUUAAUUGAGCCAAACUGCUACUCUGAAAUCAGUAAGUAAAUUUUUUCAGUAUCAAUGAAGAAACUGAAGCAGAGGGAUAAUUUUGACUCACCUAAGACUACAGAAUAAGAUCAGCUUCAGCUCUAAAAUUAGCAAACAAAUCCCUUCAUUCCUAAUGCUGUGUUCAUAAUUCUUCUUGCAAAAAAAGAGUAUUUUCCUCAUUCCAGUUCACUUUCUUAGAGAUAAAUCAGAUCAUGGAUGACUCUAUCUGCAUUCCUAACUAAUGCCUCACAGCAAUAAAACCGGUACCUCCUUCCUAUUAAAAAAAGUGGCCAAAAAGUGCUUUAUUUGAAUGAUCCUCCUGGAUGUUUAUUCCAUAAAUUUGUUCAUGCAGAAAAGUGUAACCUUGAUCCCUACCUGUUCAGCAUGGUUUUGGAUAGUAUAACAUCCUGUAACACUCAGGGUGUGUCGCUGACUGCAUGAAGCAUUAAACGCCACUGCCGUUCAGGAAAAGGAAAAAAACAUUUUAGAGAAUGAAGAGAAAAUGUUAUAAAGCAUUUAAAAAUAUAAAUAACAGCAUGUGAGGAAAUCUUUCUGAAGGAACAGGAUGCGCCUGUAGGUGAAGAAUUCAAAUGCAAGUGCUGUGCUAAGUAUAAUCAGUAAUGAAAGCUCAGCCCUUCCUCUUAGGAUUUUAGUAAGCUACAUGUUGACAGGACUUUCCAAGUAGCAGGGAACAAAAAAGCAAGCUUUAAGUCUGGUUGCAGUGUAGUAUGUGUUUAUCAUUAUCACAUAUGUUAUGCUGUCCAUCUAUUACUGUAAGACUGGACUUUAAACGGACAGUAGAAUAAAUUAGUAUCUGCUCAA